AACGAACGCUGGCGGCGUGGAUAAGACAUGCAAGUCGAACGCUGAUCAGGGGGUAGCAAUAUUCCCUGGUUGGAGUGGCGCAAGGGUGCGUAACACGUGGGUAAUCUGCCGUGAAGCCUGGGAUAACUCGCUGAAAGGCGAGCUAAUACCGGAUGUGACUGUUUGGUGGCAUCACCGGACAUUUGAAGCUGGGGACCGAAAGGCCUGGCACUUCAUGAUGAGCCCGCGGCCUAUCAGCUAGUUGGUGAGGUAACGGCCCACCAAGGCUAAGACGGGUAGCUGGUCUGAGAGGACGACCAGCCACACUGGAACUGAGACACGGUCCAGACACCUACGGGUGGCAGCAGUCGAGAAUUUUUCACAAUGGGCGCAAGCCUGAUGGAGCGACGCCGCGUGGGGGAUGAAGGGUUUCGAUCCGUAAACCCCUGUCAUUUGCGAACAAACCUGGAGUGCUAACACCAUUUCAGUUGAUUGUAGUGAAAGAGGAAGGGACGGCUAAC
rnacentral:rRNA from 1 species